GAGAUUAUAUCAAUGAAAGUGUUAGUGGCGAACGAGGUAGUAACGCGUAGGUACGAACCCCAGAGCCGUGAAUAACCCAUCGAAAGAUGGAUUAAUACACGAUAGUCUCUUCGGAGUAAAGAAGCAAUUCACUCUGGGAUCGGCCUGCGUAGUAUCAGCUAGUUGGUAGGGUAAUGGCCUACCAAGGCUAUGACGCUUAGGGGACCUGAGAGGGUGACCCUCACCGAUGGUACUGAGACACGGACCAUACACCUACGGGUGGCCGCAGUCGAGAAUCUUCCACAAUGGACGAAAGUCUGAUGGAGCGACGCCGCGUGAUCGAUGAAGUCCUUCGGGAUGUAAAGAUCUUUUAUGAGAUAGAAAGUUUAUUGAUCGUCUCAUGAAUAAGAGGUUGCUAAACUCGUGCCAGCAGCAGCGGUAAUACGAGUGCCUCAAGCGUUAUCCGGAAUUAUUGGGCGUAAAGGGUGUGUAGGCGGUUUCUUUAGUCUCUCGUUAAAACUUGAAGCUCAACUUCAAAUCUGCGAGGGAAACGGAGAGACUCGAGUGCGCGAGAGGUGAAUGGAACUCAUAGUGUAGGGGUGAAAUCCGUUGAUAUUAUGGGGAACACCAAAUGCGAAGGCAAUUCACUGGCGCGUAACUGACGCUGAGACACGAAAGCGUGGGUAGCGAAUGGGAUUAGAUACCCCAGUAGUCCACGCCCUAAACGAUCUUGAUUUGCUAUGGGGAGUAUCGACCCUCUCCGUGGCGUAGCUAACGCGUAAAUCAAGCG
rnacentral:rRNA from 1 species